rnacentral:rRNA from 1 species
AGAGUUUGAUCAUGGCUCAGAACGAACGCUGGCGGCGUGGAUAAGACAUGCAAGUCGAACGGGAUUAGUCUGUGUAGCAAUACAUAGAUUGAUUUAGUGGCGAACGGGUGAGUAACAGGUGGGAAUCUACCUUGAAGUGGGGGAUAGCUUGCCGAAAGGCAAAUUAAUACCGCAUGUGAUCGAAAGAUCAAAGCUGGGGACCGCAAGGCCUAGCGCUUCUAGAUGAGCCCGCCUCCUAUCAGCUUGUUGGUGGGGUAAUGGCCCACCAAGGCUAUGACGGGUAGCUGGUCUGAGAGGACGACCAGCCACACUGGGACUGAGACACGGCCCAGACACCUACGGGUGGCAGCAGUCGAGAAUUUUUCUCAAUGGGGGAAACCCUGAAGGAGCGACGCCGCGUGGAGGAUGAAGGGCUUCGGCUCGUAAACUCCUGUCACUAGGGAACAAAGGUGCAAACCUAACACGUUUGCAAUUGAUGGUACCUGGAGAGGAAGGCACGGCUAACUCUGUGCCAGCAGCCGCGGUAAUACAGAGGUGCCAAGCGUUGUUCGGAUUUACUGGGCGUAAAGGGUGCGUAGGUGGUUUGGUAAGUCAAAUGUGAAAUCCUACAGCUUAACUGUAGAAAUGCAUUCGAAACUGCCAAGCUAGAGGACUGGAGAGGAAAUCGGAAUUCUCGGUGUAGCAGUGAAAUGCGUAGAUAUCGAGAGGAACACCAGUGGCGAAGGCGGAUUUCUGGACAGUUUCUGACACUGAGGCACGAAAGCUAGGGGAGCAAACGGGAUUAGAUACCCUAGUAGUCC